CCGCAACAAACGGCGGGUAUAAGUUCCGCGCGCCACCACCGGAAAGACGGAGUAUGUCUACUGAGCCCAUAGUAGGGAUCAGUGCCUUCUGCUUUAAGUCUCUGGUCUGGUGGAGUGUCGCAAUGUGCAAUGUUUGUUGCGAAUGAAGCGCGUCGUCGUGAUGAAACUGGCAAAUGUGGUUUUGAAACCGGCCAACGGUCAAAACCUAAAGCGGAGAGUCUAAAAGUGUGUGUCAUGUCCAGCAGAUUGCUGUCUUUCGAUGACUAUGUGUUGCAUUUCCAGAGCUAACUUACCACUCAUACUGACUGGAUUGCUGUCCUUGAUGUUCCUCGCAAUAUCGUCCUUAUUUUCACCGUAGAUAUGUCUUCCUUUCAAGAGAAUAUAGCCGAAGACAAGGCCUUCUGCGUAUACGUCGCUUUUGGUGGGGCCUUUAAUUUUUUCAGUGUGUACGUCUCUGCUGCUAAUUUCCAUCUCUUCGGGGGAAAACCAAAUUAGAGUCCCUUUGACUCCACUCAUUAUGAAUGUUCCCCAUUCACUCACUUCCCGUGAAAAUCCAAAAUCAGCCCACUUGAUCGUUAUCUUUUCAGCUGUCAAGUCUGUAUGUUUCACAAAAAUGAGAAUGUUUUCCGGUUUAAUGUCCCGGUGGAUUAGUUGCUGUGAAUGAAUGUACUCGAGACCAGUGGCUAACUGGAAGAAAACCUCGAAAUUAUUUGGUAAUGCAGGUCCUUUAUAUUUCCGAGGAUCGUCCUCAUUUAGGAACACCUGAUCCAAUGAUGCGUCGCACAAUUCCAAAACAAAGUAACUAAAUCACAGAAAUAAUAUGGAAAUUCUCUUUUUAAUUCAAAGUUAUCAUGUAAUAAUCUUACUUGAAGUCUUUAUCCCUUGUGAAGUAGAAAAGUUUUACUACAUUGGGAUGGUCGUCUAACUGUAGCAGAAUUUUUAACUCACGGUCAACUAUCUGAACUCUCUCAGGUCUAAUAUCGAUUCUUUUUACUGCUACACUUUGACCUUUAUACGUACCACGAAACACUGAACCGUAGCCACCGGUACCCAAACGAUAUUUGCGAUCGAAUUGGAUGCCAUCUACAUUUUCGGCAACAGUCGAUGACAUUUCAGGUUUAAUUGCACCUGAUACUAGCAAGACAAGAACUUAUGCGAGCUGCUUUUGUACAAUACCGGUUCUAAAACACUGGGCAACCCUCACUUGCAACUCGAAAUUGCUUAGAAUUUAUCAGUCAGUUUAUCUGUAAAGCAUAGAAUAUAACCUACGAGUCCAAUGCAGAUAAUGAUUUGUUAUCACAUUAUCUACCUGUUGAUCUGUGUGAAAGGUCAGCGAAAUUUUUUCAUUUGCUUCUUAAAAUUACUUCACAUCAUUUUUACGGGAUUUGUGUUCGUUUUCUUGACAAUUGAUUUUGCAUUGAAUUAAUAAUUCGCUCAGCGUGCUUUUCUAAUCGUUUAAUUUAAUUGUUUCUGCCUAUAAACGUUUUAUUGUAGAGCUUUACUAAUUGCGCACUGCGCUGUUCACUUUCGACAUGUAUACCUUAUCGCAUUGUCUUCUCAUUAUCUUUCGUGAAGCUUUUCCCCGUUCUUUUUUAAAAUGUAAAUAUGCUACGAAUAUAUGUUACAUAUUUCUUUGACGAACAUGGUAUAACCUACUUGAUGAGGUCCAAAUAAUACGAACACUGAUUAUCUUUAUUAGUCGCAGGUGUUGAAGAGAAAGUAGCACAAAUAUAAAGAAACGAUCAGCUGUCCUGCCAGUUUGUCGACAAGUAAUGCAUAAGUAAAAUAUCUCUUUAAUUUUUCACCUUCGCUUUGUCCUUCCUAUGGUUAAUUUAAUUACCUAGCCUACUCAUCUUUCUUCCUGUUAUUGCAUGUUUCGGCGUGUUUUACAGUUCAUAUAACUUUCCCUUUAGGAUUAUGUCCGUUAUCCAGGACAAGCACAAAACGACCAUAUUUUGCAGUGACCAAACAGAAAGAAAAAAAUGUAUAACAAUAAUUAAAUAAGUCGAUUUACAAAGCCAGAUUAUUUUCUUUUUGAAAGGCAAAUGUUCAUGUUUGCUUUUGUUUUCGUUCAGAAUUGCGCAAUGGAAAGCGAAAAAAUUAUGCUGACCGAGGCCACUACUCAUUGUUUGAUAUUGUUUUUCAAUUAGCUUGGGAAAUAAUGACAUUUUGCAUGAAAUCACGUUAUUUUCCAAUCAUUUUUAUUCCAAGAAAUGCAAAAUGGCAACACUGCAUUGGCAAAAGUCUAACUACCCCAUCGCAGUGUUCACUCCAUACUUUGUAGUCUAUGAUACGCGUGUAAGAGAAUCGUUACCAUCUCGCCUUAACGACCUGGUGUUACGCAAACUCACUGAUUGUGCUGCAGUGCCAGUAGUGCAACAAGUACAGUUAUCAGCCUACCAACAGGCAGUAAAUCACAUUUAUUGAAUCUAAUCAAACAUCCGUGAUUACGUCAACCUAUUUGAUGCAGCAACGGAAAACAUAGAACGCCAUCUUGUAUUCGUUUUGUCUUUUACUAUGUUGCGAAGUGUGUCUACAAUUAGCACAUCUUAUUCAACCUUUAAUAGGCAAAAUGGUGGAAAACCUUGAAGAUACAGGAAAAGAUGAACAAUUUAAGGUACUACAGUUUAAGAGCAAUUUAAGGCCAUAGCCUCCAGGAUAAGUUUAAGAAUUCGAUCGGACAGAGCCGGACUAUCACUCAGUACAUACGUCGCCAUCAUGUUCUUGUAAGUUUCCUCCAUUUCGAGGCUCAUUCCACUUUCACCCUUAACUGGUUCCACAUCCGUCUCUUCGUUCACUAAAAGGCCAACAACACAAUGAAGACGAUUAAAGAGCACUGAUACCCAAACGGAAAUCAACUGUCACCUGGUUUUGGCUCUUUUAGUUGUUCGUCUGCAUCCAUAUCUUGUAAACUGGUCACAACCUUCUUAUUUUGGGUCAUGGAAACGAUCAUGACGCCUAUCAACAUCCACAUUAACGACCUUUUCUUGUAAUCCUCUAGAAAGUUUUGCCAGCUGUAGUUGUCCAACGAAAUGCCGAGCAACCUCAGAUCGGUCGUCAAAGUAUCAAAAUAAUAACGAAGCAAGACGAGCAUGUAUCGCUCUCUCAACUCCGGCAUUGUACUCGUGUACAUGAAGUAAAGGACGUCACUGAGUGGGUGGCCGAUCCUCGAUAGUUGAAAAUCGAGCAUUCUCAAUGAAACAGGAAUGUCUGCUGGUGCAUUCUCGUUCUUUGUCCCAUCUUCCUUUUCAAUUUGAUACGUCUGGUCUGCGUAUCUGAAGAGCAUAUUGUUGUUCCAAAAAUCCCCAUGAAGAAUGCAAGCCAAUGGACCACUGCUCUCGAGAUUAUCGACUAAAACGAUUUCCGGUAUUCGUUGCUGUAUGUUUAUCAACCAUUCAACUACCUGGUAUGACAAGAAUACUUCCCAGCGUACUCACAUCAGGUCUGUCUAUUUCUUUGGCGAAAUUGACGAUCGAGAUGGAAAAGUCUUGAAGGAUUUUAAUGAUUCCUACGUCAUACAUGGAUUUCUCUUCCAAAAUGAAU